UUAUCAUGUUUUAUCUUGUUUUAUACAUUUGUAUUGAUUUCAGAUGCUUUGUUGGUUCUAAUGAUAGUCGGCAACUAGAAUGUCAUGUCUAUUAUUAUUAUUAAUAUAUAGGUUAUUAUUACAGCAUUCAUGUAAUGUAUAUUAUGUAAUACUAUAUAUUAUUUUGUAUUCUUUUCAGUUACCAAUACCAAUCUGGAAAAGAAUCGCGGUUCGAUAUUCUGUAAAUUCUGUAACUCAUUAAAGAACCCCUGAUUAGAAAGAGAACAAAUCUUGUUGUUGAUAAACCCACGAGAUACAAAUGGCGCCCAACGGGUUGAAAUAGGAUUAGAGGCAUGUAGUGUGGAGCCGGUCGUGUCGUAGAGGAGCGGGUCGUUUUAGUCCUGUCGUAGAGGAGCCGGUCGUGUCGUUCAGGAGCGUGUCGUGGAGGAGCGGGUCAUUCUGGUCGUGGAGGAGAGGAACGUGUCGUUCCGAUCUUAUUGUAGAGGAGCUGGUGGUGUCGUGAACAUUCUUCAACUUCUUCAGACAUUAUUCCAGUGUACAAUUUCUGAUUUGGACAUACCAGAAAUAUUGUAAUAGAUAAUAGUGACCUUAUAUCAGUUCUAAUUUAAAAAAUCAUUCUAGUUGCUGCCGAAUUGUGUAUUGUUCCUGUCUACUGAGUCAAACGCACAACUAAAGAAGUCGUGAUUGAGAGACUGUGAGAGGUAUUCGAUUCCCUAAAUCGUUACCAAUACCAAUCUGGAAAAGAAUCACGGUUCGAUAUUCUGUAAAUUCUGUAACUCAUUAAAGAACCCCUGAUUAGAAAGAGA